GUGAGGAAUAUUGCGCAAUGGAGGCAACUCUGACGCAGCCAUGCCGCGUGCAGGAAGAAGGCGCUACGCGUUGUAAACUGCUUUUAACCGGGAAGAAACCCCAGGACGUGUCCUGGGUUGACGGUACCGGAGGAAUAAGCACCGGCUAACUUCGUGCCAGCAGCCGCGGUAACACGAAGGGUGCAAGCGUUAUCCGGAUUCAUUGGGUUUAAAGGGUGCGUAGGCGGAGCGUUAAGUCAGUGGUGAAAUCCUGCAGCUUAACUGUAGACUUGCCAUUGAUACUGGCGCUCUUGAGUGCGCUUGAAGUGGGCGGAAUGUGCCGUGUAGCGGUGAAAUGCUUAGAUAUGGCACAGAACACCAAUUGCGAAGGCAGCUCACUAAGGCGAUACUGACGCUGAGGCACGAAAGCGUGGGGAUCGAACAGGAUUAGAAACCCGUGUAGUCC
rnacentral:rRNA from 1 species